UACAGAGGGUGCAAGCGUUAAUCGGAAUUACUGGGCGUAAAGCGUGCGUAGACGGUUAUGUAAGUCAGAUGUGAAAGCCCAGGGCUCAACCUUGGAAUUGCAUUUGAGACUGCAUAGCUAGGGUGCGGAAGAGGGAAGCGGAAUUUCCGGUGUAGCGGUGAAAUGCGCAGAUAUCGGGAGGAACACCAGUAGCGAAGGCGGCUCGCUGGGCCAUUCCUGACGCUGAGGCGGCGAAAGCUAGGGGAGCAAACGGG
rnacentral:rRNA from 1 species